UACGAAGGGGGCUAGCGUUGUUCGGAAUUACUGGGCGUAAAGCGCACGUAGGCGGAUAUUUAAGUCAGGGGUGAAAUCCCAGAGCUCAACUCUGGAACUGCCUUUGAUACUGGGUAUCUGGAGUAUGGAAGAGGUGAGUGGAAUUCCGAGUGUAGAGGUGAAAUUCGUAGAUAUUCGGAGGAACACCAGUGGCGAAGGCGGCUCACUGGUCCAUUACUGGACGCUGAGGUGCGAAAGCGUGGGGAGCAAACAGGG
rnacentral:rRNA from 1 species